UACGACAAUAUCACGUUGAAAAACUAGUUCCCGUACAAUCACAGAAGUUAAGCAAUGUCGAGUCUGGUCAGUACCUAGAUGGGAGACUGCUUGGGAAUACCAGGUGCUGUAAGC
rnacentral:rRNA from 1 species